rnacentral:misc_RNA from 1 species
GGAAGGAUCAUUAGUCAAUCGUGCUCGCGAACGUCAAAAGUCGCGGUCGAAAAUCCCUUUGUGCACCGUUGCGAAAUCAUUUUCCACCUCAACCUCUGUUGGCCUGAAUCGUUUAUCUCCUCUUGUCGGCGCCUGGAAACGGGACCGGCGGAUGUGAACUGAAAACAACUUUUGACAAUGGAUCUCUUGGCUCUCGCAUCGAUGAAGAACGCAGCGAAAUGCGAUAAGUAGUGUGAAUUGCAGAAUUCAGUGAAUCAUCGAAUCUUUGAACGCACAUUGCGCUCCCCGGCAUUCCGAGGAGCAUGCCUGUUUGAUGCCCGGAAACCACGGCGCGUCGGCACCAGAAAUGGCGCCGCGCACCACAGCUGGACGUCCUUUUCUCCGGAGAGUAAGAUCCCCGGAGUCGUCUGAAAUGCAUCGCGUGAGGGUGUGUGCCGCCCGCCCCCGGAGUAAGCAAAAGCCUGGUGAUGAUAAGCUCCGUCGAGCUGCCGGCAGGAAGGGUGCGCCACGAGAGUGGCGCGCCCGACACGCCCUUCGGCUCGACUCGUCCUGCUUCACCGGCCGCGAUCGAGGGCCGAAAUGCCCCGUGGGCCGAAAUGCCCUGCGGUCUUUGGCCGAGCUUUCCCGGAAGGGCCGGUUACCCCCUCCCAAGCCCCAACCAACUCCGUUCGUUGGGCAUCAAAUCAGGUAGGAUUACCCGCUGAACUUAAGCAUAUUAAUAAGCGGAGGAAAAGAAACUAACAAGGAUUCCCCUAGUAACGGCGAGUGAAGCGGGAUGAGCUCAAUUUUGGAAUCUGGGCACUCCGUGCUCCGAGUUGUAGUCUACAGACACGUUUUCCGGUGCGACUUUGGGAUUAAAUCCUUUGGAAUAGGGUAUCAUAGAGGGUGAGAAUCCCGUCUCUGGCCAAAGCUCCCGCAUCUCUGUGAUACGUGCUCGAAGAGUCGCGUUGUUUUGGAAUGCAGCGCAAAUCGGGUGGUAAAUUUCAUCCAAAGCUAAAUAAUGGCGAGAGACCGAUAGCGAACAAGUACCGUGAGGGAAAGAUGAAAAGAACUUUGAAAAGAGAGUUAAAUAGUACGUGAAAUUGUCAAAAGGGAAACGCAUGAACAUCAGAUUUUCCCGGACGGGUUCCGAGAUCGAUGCGGUUGCCCGGGUUUCCGGUUUGCCUACGCGGCGGCCGGUUCCGCGGACAAGCGCACGGUCUUUUAGCCGGAUGGGAAGUCGACAUCAGUUUGCCCUCAUGUAGAUCCGCCCCGGGAUAGUAGCCGUCCUCCGGGACGCGCGAGCCCGGCUCGGCGCCGAUUGUGGGGGCAGACUGAGGACCGCAGCGGCGUGGUCUUCGCGGACCACGACCGCAGGUUUCCUGCCGCCGGGGUAGCGUCUUUCCCGGGCGUCAACUUGUUGACGUCAGGGUGCGCGAUCCGUGCGGCGGGCUUCAACCUGCACCAACGCUCAGGAUGUCGACGUAAUGAUUUUAUACGACCCGUCUUGAAACACGGACCAAGGAGUCUAACAUAUAUGCGAGUAUUUGGGUGGCAAACCCAUGUGCGCAAUGAAAGUGAAUGCAGGUGAGAUCCUCAGCUCCUGGGGUGCACCAUCGACCGAUCUGGAUAUUUUUGAUAGAUUUGAGUAAGAGCAUAUCUGUUGGGACCCGAAAGAUGGUGAACUAUACUUGAAUAGGGUGAAGUCAGAGGAAACUCUGAUGGAGGCUCGUAGCGAUUCUGACGUGCAAAUCGAUCGUCAAAUUUGAGUAUAGGGGCGAAAGACUAAUCGAACCAUCUAGUAGCUGGUUCCUGC